rnacentral:rRNA from 1 species
UGAAUACGAGAUGCUACGGCGUCGAAGCAGUGUAUGUCAGACUUCCAAGAAAAGCUCGCAAUGUCAUAAAUAAAGAAUGCCUGUACCAUAACCGACACAGGUGGGUAGGUAGAGUAUACUAAGGGGCGCGAGAUAACUCUCUCUAAGGAACUCGGCAAAAUAACUCCGUAACUUCGGGAGAAGGAGUGCCUUCUUUAAGAAGGUUGCAAUAACAAGAUCCAAGCAACUGUUUAUCAAAAACACAGGUCUCCGCUAAGUCGUAAGACGAUGUAUGGGGGCUGACGCCUGCCCAGUGCCAGAAGGUUAAAGAAGUUGGUUAGCUUUUGCGAAGCUGAUGACUGAAGCCCUGGUGAACGGCGGCCGUAACGAUAACGGUCCUAAGGUAGCGAAAUUCCUUGUCGGGUAAGUUCCGACCCGCACGAAAGGCGUAAUGAUUUGGAUACUGUCUCGGAGAGGGACUCGGUGAAAUAGACUUGUCUGUGAAGAUGCGGACUACCUGCACCAGGACAGAAAGACCCUAUGAAGCUUUACUGUAACUUGAAAUUGAAAUUGGACUUUAUUUGCGCAGUAUAGGUGGAAGGCGUUGAAAGUAAUCUUGCGGGAUUAGUGGAGCCAUCAGUGAGAUACCACUCCUAUAAUGUUAGAUUUCUAACUUUGGAUCAUGAUCUGGUCAAAGAACAGUUUCAGGCGGGCAGUUUGACUGGGGCGGUCGCCUCCCAAAUGGUAACGGAGGCGUACAAAGGUUUCCUCUGAACGGGUAGAAAUCGUAUCUAGAGUGUAAAGGCAUAAGGAAGCUUGACUGUGAGACCUACAAGUCGAGCAGGGACGAAAGUCGGUCUUAGUGAUCUGACGGUGCUGAGUGGAAAGGCCGUCACUCAACGGAUAAAAGUUACUCUAAGGAUAACAGGCUGAUCUCCCCCAAGAGUUCACAUCGACGGGGAGGUUUGGCACCUCGAUGUCGGCUCAUCGCAUCCUGGGGCGGUAGUACGUCCCAAGGGUUGGGCUGUUCGCCCAUGAAAGCGGUACGCGAGCUGGGUUCAGAACGUCGUGAGACAGUUCGGUCCAUAUCCGGUGUAGGCGUUAGAAUAUUGAGAGGAGCCUUCUUUAGUACGAGAGGACCGAGAAGGACAUACCUCUGGUGUACCAGUUAUCGAGCCAACGGUAAACGCUGGGUAGCUAUGUAUGGAGAGGAUAACCUCUGAAAGCAUCUAAGUGGGAAGCCCACCUCAAGAUGAGUAUUCU